GAUUAGACUACUGUAUCGGCUUUCUCACUGCGCUCUCUAAAUGGGCUGUAAGGCAGCUGCAGUACAUCCAGAAUGCUGCUGCUCAAGUCCUGACUAGAACCAGAGGUUCACGGAGCCACAUGCGGCUCUAGAACCGCGGGUUGCUGACCCCCGCCUUAGUCCCAAACAUCGCAGGCCAAGAAUCUUCAUGUAACCGCACUCGUCACAUCAGCCCAGACCAGCAGCGACUUUCUGGAGCAACGAGAAAAAAACAAACUGAUGGGUGACGGGCCAUCGCCCAGCAGGUGAGGGGCUGUGCCCAGUGUGGCGCGAGCCCUCCGCCAUGACACGCGGGCCAUCUCUGCGCACGCCAGGCAGCUGGUCAGUGCGGUGUCGGGCCUGACAAUGGCCGUCAAUGCCCUGGCAACAGUUGGGAGGUCAUCUGGUUGCAGUGUCUCUUCAACAAAGCAACCAGGGGAUAAGGAGCGACAGGACAACCCGGCAGGAGAGCAAUCACGCAGGGGUGGACAGCAGCAAA